AUGCCUCUGGCUGCCGCUGAUGAGCCCAUCUGCCCGAAGUUCCAGCCCAACAUCUUCGACUCCACCCGCUGCCACGACUGCUUACGACAGAAACACCUGCACAACACCUGCAGCGGUGGCGAGCUCGUGCCCGAGCCGCGCGCAUCUGCCGCGCACAGUGACGAGAAAGACACCAGCGCCAAGGAGGACUCAGAUGUGCUGUCAGUGGUCAGCAGCUACUGUGAUGUCAGCAGAGGGGGGCGGGGCUUUGAGGACAGCUCCCUCUGCAUCUUGAGUCCCGACUGUGACCUGUAUCUGUGUGACGGAGACGACGACCAAAGCUCGGACAGUCAGGGUGACGAUUCUGUAUACAGCAGCUCUGCCGGUCCAGAGCAAUACUCCAGGCUCCUUCAUCAUCCUUCAUCCUACCAUAGAAUGACCCGCUUGGAUCCGCCACCUCACCGGACAAGCCCCCGUGGCUGGACGGAGGUGUCUCAGAGUCGCAGUGAUGGUUUUGGGCAGUUCGGUUUUUCUCACGGCAGCGUGAAGGAACGGAGGGAACGAGAGAGUGGAUAUUUCUCUCUGGGAAGGGCUGCCGGUAGCAGAGCUCUCCGUGAUCAGAGUCCCCCUGCUCCUUAUCGGCAUUCUGAAAGAGGGCAUCCCCUGCCUAGCAACAAAAGCCCAGAACCCAAAGCCGCCAUUCCAUUUCGGAACCCAGAUCUGGGCCUCCCCUCGGAAAGGAGAACCUCUGAGUUUCAGAAUCCCGAGCAGCUCGCAGAAGACUAUCCUCCCCAGUAUCCUCCAGAUCCGCUGGAUCUCAGCGUGGAGGUUGAGGCCCUUGCUGGUCCCCGAGCGCUGAGUCCCACCCCUUUCAAACAAGCUGAAUCGAUCGGUGCCUCCAGUCGAAGAGGUGGACGAAAUGCCCACACGUCUCCCUUACGGCAGCCGGGAACGCUCAACUCUUCCCAAAGAGGCUCUGGCCUCUCGCGUUCCUCCUCUCCCUCCCGUAGUACCUCCCCAUUCAGACGGGCUGAGUCCAGCUCCUCUCUCAACACGGUCGGCUUUCGGUCUAGCAUUGUUUCACGUGGACAAGAUCGGGCAACGGUCAGUCCAGCACGAAACAGUUACUCCGGAGGCCUGCAGAAAAACCUCAAAUCAUUUGUGAGUACUGCAGGCACCGUCAGUAAUGUUAGUAAGUCUCUGUCUUACAUGGAUCUGAGAGGCUCUUUACGGAAACCCGAUACCAACAGCUCCUUCAUUGGGUCUACAGAAAACCGUGGAAGCUUGUCCCCUUCCAAACGGACUUAUGAUGGUCCUGCUGUUAGGAAAACUGAAAUGAAAAGCCCUUCAUACGAGCGUGGUCAUGACAGACAGAGUUCCUCCCCCUCAGUGGGCCGCUAUGAUUCAAGAAACCAGUCCCCUUCCAGACAGAGUUAUGAUAGUCCUGCUGUUAGGAAAACCGAAACGAAAAGCCCUUCAUACGAGCGUGGUCAUGACAGACAGAGUUCCUCCCCCUCAGUGGGCCGCUAUGAUUCAAGAAACCAGUCCCCUUCCAGACAGAGUUAUGAUAGUCCUGCUGUUAGGAAAACCGAAACGAAAAGCCCUUCAUACGAGCGUGGUCAUGACAGACAGAGUUCCUCCCCCUCAGUGGGCCGCUAUGAUUCAAGAAGCCAGUCCCCUUCCAGACGAAGUUAUGGUGGUCCUGCUGUUAGGAAAACAGAGACGAAAGGCCCUUUGUAUGAGAGCAGUCAUGACAGACAGUUUUCUUCCUCCUCCUCAAAGGGCCACUAUGAUUCAAGAAGCCAGUCCCCUAAAGGGAGACUAGACACAAAUGGCUCAUCAAGUCAGAUUCGGGAGGGUAGACGCAGUGCGUCUCCGGUCAGGAAGGGCUACGGAACGCCCAGCCAAUCAGACAGAGGAUCUAUGUCUAAUGGGUGGAGUCAUGCCAGAAACAGCCCCUCCCCAUCCAGGAAAAGUUAUGAAAUGCAAAGCCAAACCACUGUGAAGAAACCAGAAGCAAAGAGCUCCCUUCACAGCUACAACCGAGACAGCAGACACUCUUCCCCAAUUAGAGGUCGACACCAAAACCCUGGCUCAUCAUCGCUUCGUAAGUCCGAAAUGAGCCAGUCCUCAUCAAACCGUGGCCCCAAGAGCCGCAGUCCCUCCCCCUUAAGGUGGGCAAAUGACAACCCUAGCCAAUCUCUUCCCCGCAAGGCAGAGAGUGGACGUAGUCCCUCUGUGUCUACACUGAGGUGUGACAUUGCAGACCACAUCCCUCUCAAGAACACUAUGAGUGACAGAACUGGCUCCACCUCUUAUGUAAGAAACUCCACAAGUAACCAAUCACAGCAUGAUUCAAACCCUUCAUCAGGCCGCUGGAGAGGCUCCACCCACUCUCUCAACAGCCAAUCAGUCUCACGUAACUCCUCCCCAUCACGACACAGUGGUGAGAAGAAACAAAUCAGCUCCUUUCCAAAAUCUGUCCCUGUUGCUUGGGAAACGCCACAAGACGGAAGCAAGAGGAGCAGCAUGAGGCAGGUCCAAGAGGUGCAAAGCUCAAUGCCUAACAACCGACGAGCACCGAGCCGACACAGAAGCCCCUCCCCUCCAGUCGAAAGACACACGUCUUCCCAAAGCUCCAUGGACUCAGAGUCAAGUCAUCUUUCUGCCGGGUCAUCGGGUCUUAACCGGGAAGAAUAUGCCAUGAUGGCUGACCUUCCCAAGGUCAAAACAGUCUUCCAUAGGGAGAGCCCAAGCUACCUGGGGAAGAUCGAGAGCUGUCAGAAACGAGAAAUUUCCCGCUACAAACCAGCCAGGUGGACAGAAAAUGUUCGCUGUUCAACAUGCGGUCUUCUCAAUAUAACACAAUGUAAAAAAGAGUAGCAAAGCCAGGGCGUUUUUAGCAAUGUUAUCAUAAAUUCAGGAUUAAACUGUAAAUAAUUCAUAACACAGCAGUGAGAGCUCAAGGGCAGCUAUCAAAUUGGACCAAGUUUGAAAUAAACUUGCAUGUAACGGCCAGAGAAUAAGGUUUUGAAUCAGAUUUCAUAUGGGUUUAGUCAUAUCUUCAGAUGAGGGUCACACAUGGUCACGAGCUAGCGACCCGGGUUAGCUGAAUCUGUUUUUGUGUUUUUCUAGUCAUUCCCAGAGCAAAUCUCCUCACUCGGAAUGGGACGAACUAGAGGAUGAAAGAGACAGUGGUACACUAUCGAGGGCUCACUCGUCCAGCUCCCUACACACACAGACAGCGAGCAGUCCGGCCGUGGAGCGGAUACACCCGUCCAGAUCAUCAGGACAGAAGCAGAAAACACACAGACCGUCAGUGUAUUUCUCCUGCAGCGUGGAGCAGACGGAUGAAGAACCAAUGCAGCAGGCACGUCACUCACACUUAAAGGGAUAGAUCUCCCAGAAAUAAAAACUCUGUCUUCAUUUACUCAACACUGUCGCUCCAAACCCGUCUGGAGCACAAAGGAGAUGUUAGGCAGAAUGGCAGCUUCACUUUCAUUGCAUCUUUGAACAGAAUUGAUUAGAGAUCUUUGUGUCAUACGGGUUUGGAACAACAUGAGUGAUUAGUAAGUUUUACUUUGUACUUUAACAUUUAUGUGUUUGUUUGAUUUCAUCUUUUAAUAUUGAUAUUUUUCCUUAUUUGUCUUAACUUUAUAUUAACAUUUAGUUAUGUUGAAGCAGGCUCUUAAGUGU